rnacentral:rRNA from 1 species
CAGUCGCCACGGUAACACGUAGGUGGCAAGCGUUGUCCGGAAUUAUUGGGCGUAAAGGGCUCGCAGGCGGUUUCUUAGGUCUGAUGUGAAAGCCCCCGGCUCAACCGGGGAGGGUCAUUGGAAACUGGGAAACUUGAGUGCAGAAGAGGAGAGUGGAAUCCCACGUGUAGCGGUGAAAUGCGUAGAGAUGUGGAGGAACACCAGUGGCGAAGGCGACUCUCUGGUCUGUAACUGACGCUGAGGAGCGAAAGCGUGGGGAGCGAACAGGAUUAGAUACCCCAGUAGUCCCUGUCUCUUAUAC